rnacentral:rRNA from 1 species
UACGUAGGUGGCAAGCGUUAUCCGGAAUUACUGGGCGUAAAGGGUGCGUAGGCGGCGCCAUAAGUCAGGUGUGAAAUCUCGGGGCUCAACUCCGAAACUGCACUUGAUACUGUGGUGCUCGAGUACUGGAGAGGAGAUUGGAAUUUACGGUGUAGCAGUGAAAUGCGUAGAUAUCGUAAGGAAGACCAGUGGCGAAGGCGAAUCUCUGGACAGUUACUGACACUGAGGCACGAAGGCCAGGGGAGCAAACGGG